rnacentral:rRNA from 1 species
GACGAACGCUGGCGGCGUGCUUAACACAUGCAAGUCGAACGGUGAAGCGCCUUCCUUUUUGGUGGGUGUGGAUGAGUGGCGAACGGGUGAGUAACACGUGAGUAACCUGCCCCCUUCUUCUGGAUAACCGCAUGAAAGUGUGGCUAAUACGGGAUAUUCUGGGUCUGUCGCAUGAUGGGUCUGGGAAGGAUAUUGUUUCGGUGGGGGAUGGGCUCGCGGCCUAUCAGCUGGUUGGUGGGGUGAUGGCCUACCAAGGCGGUGACGGGUAGCCGGCCUGAGAGGGUGGACGGUCACACGGGGACGGAGACACGGCCCAGACUCCUACGGGAGGCAGCAGUGGGGAAUAUUGCACAAUGGGCGCAAGCCUGAUGCAGCGACGCCGCGUGAGGGAUGGAGGCCUUCGGGUUGUGAACCUCUUUCGCCAGUGAAGCAGGCCUGCCUCGUUUGUGGGUGGGUUGACGGUAGCUGGAUAAGAAGCGCCGGCUAACUACGUG